rnacentral:rRNA from 1 species
AAUGAACGCUGGCGGCAGGCCUAACACAUGCAAGUCGAACGGAUCCUUCGGGAUUAGUGGCGGACGGGUGAGUAACGCGUGGGAACAUACCCUUUGGUACGGAAUAGCCUCGGGAAACUGGGAGUAAUACCGUAUGUGCUCUUCGGAGGAAAGAUUUAUCGCCAAAGGAUUGGCCCGCGUUGGAUUAGGUAGUUGGUGGGGUAAUGGCCUACCAAGCCGACGAUCCAUAGCUGGUUUGAGAGGAUGAUCAGCCACACUGGGACUGAGACACGGCCCAGACUCCUACGGGAGGCAGCAGUGGGGAAUCUUAGACAAUGGGGGAAACCCGUACGAUCUAGCCAUGCCGCGUGAUCGAUGAAGGCCUUAGGGUUGGUAAAGAUCUUUCAGUGGGGAAGGAUAAUAGACGGUACCCACCAGAAGAAGACCCCGGCCUAACU